rnacentral:rRNA from 1 species
GAUGAACGCUGGCGGCGUGCUUAACACAUGCAAGUCGAACGGUGAACGAGGGAGCUUGCUCCCUCCGGAUCAGUGGCGAACGGGUGAGUAACACGUGAGCAAUCUGCCCUGGACUCUGGGAUAAGCGUUGGAAACGACGUCUAAUACCGGAUACGAGACGUGAAGGCAUCUUCAACGUCUGGAAAGAACUUCGGUCCAGGAUGAGCUCGCGGCCUAUCAGGUAGUUGGUGAGGUAACGGCUCACCAAGCCUACGACGGGUAGCCGGCCUGAGAGGGUGACCGGCCACACUGGGACUGAGACACGGCCCAGACUCCUACGGGAGGCAGCAGUGGGGAAUAUUGCACAAUGGGCGCAAGCCUGAUGCAGCAACGCCGCGUGAGGGACGACGGCCUUCGGGUUGUAAACCUCUUUUAGCAGGGAAGAAGCGAAAGUGACGGUACCUGCAGAAAAAGCACCGGCUAACUACGUGCCAGCCGCCGCAGUAAAAC